rnacentral:tRNA from 3 species
GCGAGGAUGGCGGAACUGGUAGACGCGCCAGGUUGAGGGCCUGGUGGGCAUUGCGCUCGUGGGGGUUCGAGUCCCCCUCCUCGCACCA